GUUUGCAAUGAAUUUCCUUUCCUUUCUGUCUCUAUAGUACUCUCAGAAAGAAGACAAAUAUGAGGAGGAGAUUAAAGUCCUGAGUGACAGACUUAAGGAGGCCGAAACCCGUGCAGAAUUCGCAGAGAGGACAGUGGCGAAACUGGAGAAGACCAUAGAUGACUUAGAAGAGAACCUAUCAAAAGAGAAAGAGCAAAACCUAGGAAUGCAGCAAGUCCUGGACCAAACACUGCAGGAUCUCAAUAGCUUGUAAAAUGCCAAGAACAACAUCAAACGAAUGAAAAAAACAAACAUUUGUUUUGUAAAGGAUCUUUUCUAUAUGCCAUCCAUUCCCUGUAAUUCCUCUCUCUAGUCCUGGUUGUUAAAAACAUGUACCCCUUUUUAUAUAUUUAUGGUUCUUUUGUUUCUUCCCCGCUUUUUUUAAUAAUGGUUUUGGGUCCAAAUGAUAAUCAGUUUGGUUGCUGGAAAAUGUGUUGUACAUCAACCUCUGAGCACAAAUAAAACUGAUGAAGAUGA